UAUACAUGCAGUCGAGCGAAUGGAUUAAGAGCUUGCUCUUAUGAAGUUAGCGGCGGACGGGUGAGUAACACGUGGGUAACCUGCCCAUAAGACUGGGAUAACUCCGGGAAACCGGGGCUAAUACCGGAUAACAUUUUGCACCGCAUGGUGCGAAAUUCAAAGGCGGCUUCGGCUGUCACUUAUGGAUGGACCCGCGUCGCAUUAGCUAGUUGGUGAGGUAACGGCUCACCAAGGCAACGAUGCGUAGCCGACCUGAGAGGGUGAUCGGCCACACUGGGACUGAGACACGGCCCAGACUCCUACGGGAGGCAGCAGUAGGGAAUCUUCCGCAAUGGACGAAAGUCUGACGGAGCAACGCCGCGUGAGUGAUGAAGGCUUUCGGGUCGUAAAACUCUGUUGUUAGGGAAGAACAAGUGCUAGUUGAAUAAGCUGGCACCUUGACGGUACCUAACCAGAAAGCCACGGCUAACUACGUGCCAGCAGCCGCGGUAAUACGUAGGUGGCAAGCGUUAUCCGGAAUUAUUGGGCGUAAAGCGCGCGCAGGUGGUUUCUUAAGUCUGAUGUGAAAGCCCACGGCUCAACCGUGGAGGGUCAUUGGAAACUGGGAGACUUGAGUGCAGAAGAGGAAAGUGGAAUUCCAUGUGUAGCGGUGAAAUGCGUAGAGAUAUGGAGGAACACC
rnacentral:rRNA from 1 species